GUCGCUUCUCUGCCUUUUGGCUAAGAUCAAGUGUGGUAUUCUUAUCAGUUUAAUAUCUGUACCUUUGAAUUGCUCCCCGGGGACAAAUAAAGUUUUUUUGAAUUUGAACUGAAUUUGAAUGUGACAUUAAUGAUGGAGUCAGUAGCUUUUCCCUACAUAAAUAAAAUACAGACUUCUCCUAAA